GACGAACGCUGGCGGCGUGCUUAACACAUGCAAGUCGAACGGAAAGGCCCUGCUUUUGUGGGGUGCCCGAGUGGCGAACGGGUGAGUAACACGUGAGUAACCUGCCCUUGACUUUGGGAUAACUUCAGGAAACUGGGGCUAAUACCGGAUAGGAGCUCCUGCUGCAUGGUGGGGGUUGGAAAGUUUCGGCGGUUGGGGAUGGACUCGCGGCUUAUCAGCUUGUUGGUGGGGUAGUGGCUUACCAAGGCUUUGACGGGUAGCCGGCCUGAGAGGGUGACCGGCCACAUUGGGACUGAGAUACGGCCCAGACUCCUACGGGAGGCAGCAGUGGGGAAUAUUGCACAAUGGGCGGAAGCCUGAUGCAGCAACGCCGCGUGCGGGAUGACGGCCUUCGGGUUGUAAACCGCUUUCGCCUGUGACGAAGCGUGAGUGACGGUAAUGGGUAAAGAAGCACCGGCUAACUACGUGCCAGCAGCCGCGGUGAUGCGUAGGGUGCGAGCGUUGUCCGGAUUUAUUGGGCGUAAAGGGCUCGUAGGUGGUUGAUCGCGUCGGAAGUGUAAUCUUGGGGCUUAACCCUGAGCGUGCUUUCGAUACGGGUUGACUUGAGGAAGGUAGGGGAGAAUGGAAUUCCUGGUGGAGCGGUGGAAUGCGCAGAUAUCAGGAGGAACACCAGUGGCGAAGGCGGUUCUCUGGGCCUUUCCUGACGCUGAGGAGCGAAAGCGUGGGGAGCGAACAGGCUUAGAUACCCUGGUAGUCCACGCUGUAAACGGUGGGUACUAGGUGUGGGGUCCAUUCCACGGGUUCCGUGCCGUAGCUAACGCUUUAAGUACCCCGCCUGGGGAGUACGGCCGCAAGGCUAAAACUCAAAGGAAUUGACGGGGCCCCGCACAAGCGGCGGAGCAUGCGGAUUAAUUCGAUGCAACGCGUAGAACCUUACCUGGGUUUGACAUGGAUCGGGAGUGCUCAGAGAUGGGUGUGCCUCUUUUGGGGUCGGUUCACAGGUGGUGCAUGGCUGUCGUCAGCUCGUGUCGUGAGAUGUUGGGUUAAGUCCCGCAACGAGCGCAACCCUUGUUCACUGUUGCCAGCACGUUAUGGUGGGGACUCAGUGGAGACCGCCGGGGUCAACUCGGAGGAAGGUGGGGAUGACGUCAAGUCAUCAUGCCCCUUAUGUCCAGGGCUUCACGCAUGCUACAAUGGCUGGUACAGAGAGUGGCGAGCCUGUGAGGGUGAGCGAAUCUCGGAAAGCCGGUCUCAGUUCGGAUUGGGGUCUGCAACUCGACCUCAUGAAGUCGGAGUCGCUAGUAAUCGCAGAUCAGCAACGCUGCGGUGAAUACGUUCCCGGGGCU
rnacentral:rRNA from 1 species